rnacentral:rRNA from 1 species
AGAGUUUGAUCCUGGCUCAGGACGAACGCUGGCGGCGUGCUUAACACAUGCAAGUCAAGGAGAACGGAUCCUUCGGGAUACUAUUAAACUGGCGAACGGGUGAGUAACGCGUAGGCAACCUGCCUUGGAGAUUGGGAUAACCCCGGGAAACCGGAGCUAAUACCAAAUAAUGCAGCGGAUCCUUCGGGAUAUGUUGUUAAAGUGGGCUUCGGCUCACACUUCAAGAUGGGCCUGCGUCCGAUUAGCUUGUUGGUGAGGUAAUGGCUCACCAAGGCGAUGAUCGGUAGCUGGUCUGAGAGGAUGAUCAGCCACACUGGGAUUGAGAUACGGCCCAGACUCCUACGGGAGGCAGCAGUGGGGAAUUUUGCGCAAUGGACGAAAGUCUGACGCAGCAACGCCGCGUGAUCGAUGAAGCUUCUAGGAGUGUAAAGAUCUGUCGUGAGGGAAGAAAAAUCUGGAUGUAAAUAAUGUUCAGACGUGACGGUACCUCACAAGAAAGCACCGGCUAACUUCGUGCCAGCAGCCGCGGUAAUACGAGGGGUGCUAGCGUUGUCCGGAAUUACUGGGCGUAAAGGGUUCGUAGGCGUCUUGCCAAGUUGAUCGUUAAAGCCACCGGCUUAACCGGUGAUCUGCGAUCAAAACUGGCGAGAUAGAAUAUGUGAGGGGAAUGUGGAAUUCCUGGUGUAGCGGUGACAUGCGUAGAUAUCAGGAGGAACACCAAUGGCGAAGGCAGCAUUCUGGCACAAUAUUGACGCUGAGGAACGAAAGCGUGGGGAGCAAACAGGAUUAGAUACCCUGGUAGUCCACGCCGUAAACGAUGAGUACUUGGUGGUGGGGGAUUCGACCCCUUCACUAUCGGAGCUAACGCGUUAAGUACUCCGCCUGGGGACUACGGCCGCAAGGCUGAAACUCAAAGGAAUUGACGGGGACCCGCACAAGCGGUGGAGCAUGUGGUUUAAUUCGAUGCAACGCGAAGAACCUUACCUGGUCUUGACAUACACGGAACUUUCCAGAGAUGGAUUGGUGCCUUCGGGAACCGUGAUACAGGUGCUGCAUGGCUGUCGUCAGCUCGUGUCGUGAGAUGUUGGGUUAAGUCCCGUAACGAGCGCAACCCCUAUCCUUAUUUGCCAGCACAUCAUGGUGGGAACUAUAAGGAGACUGCCGGUGAUAAACCGGAGGAAGGCGGGGACGACGUCAAGUCAUCAUGGCCCUUACGACCAGGGCUACACACGUGCUACAAUGGGAAGAACAAAGAGUUGCGAAGCCGCGAGGUGUAGCUAAUCUCACAAAUCUUUUCGUAGUCCGGAUCGGAGUCUGCAACUCGACUCCGUGAAGUCGGAAUCGCUAGUAAUCGUAGAUCAGAACGCUACGGUGAAUACGUUCCCGGGUCUUGUACACACCGCCCGUCAUACCAUGGGAGUGGGUUGCACCAGAAGUAGCUAGUCUAACUGUUUACAGAGGACGGUUACCACGGUGUGAUUCAUGACUGGGGUAAAGUCGUAACAAGGUAACC